rnacentral:rRNA from 1 species
UACAGAGGGUGCGAGCGUUAAUCGGAAUUACUGGGCGUAAAGGGUGCGUAGGUGGUUUACUAAGUCAGAUGUGAAAUCCCCGGGCUCAACCUGGGAACGGCAUUUGAAACUAUUAGACUAGAGUACGGUAGAGGGAAGUGGAAUUUCCGGUGUAGCGGUGAAAUGCGUAGAUAUCGGAAGGAACAUCAGUGGCGAAGGCGACUUCCUGGACCGCAACUGACACUGAGGCACGAAAGCGUGGGGAGCAAACAGG